rnacentral:rRNA from 1 species
UACGGAGGGGGCUAGCGUUGUUCGGAAUUACUGGGCGUAAAGCGCGCGUAGGCGGCUUUGUAAGUUAGAGGUGAAAGCCCGGAGCUCAACUCCGGAAUUGCCUUUAAGACUGCAUCGCUAGAAUCAUGGAGAGGUGAGUGGAAUUCCGAGUGUAGAGGUGAAAUUCGUAGAUAUUCGGAAGAACACCAGUGGCGAAGGCGACUCACUGGACAUGUAUUGACGCUGAGUUGCGAAAGCGUUGGGAGCAAACAGG